UACGUAGGGCGCAAGCGUUGUCCGGAAUUAUUGGGCGUAAAGAGCUCGUAGGCGGCUUGUCACGUCGGGUGUGAAAGCCCGGGGCUUAACCCCGGGUCUGCAUUCGAUACGGGCAGGCUAGAGUGUGGUAGGGGAGAUCGGAAUCCUGGUGUAGCGGUGAAAUACGCAGAUAUCAGGAGGAACACCGGUGGCGAAGGCGGAUCUCUGGGCCAUUACUGACGCUGAGGAGCGAAAGCGUGGGGAGCGAACAGG
rnacentral:rRNA from 1 species